rnacentral:misc_RNA from 1 species
GUGAAUCAUCAAAUUUUUGAACGCAAAUUGCACUCUCUUCGGAGAGUAUGCCUGUUUGAGGGUCAGUAUUAACAAAAAAUCGGUUUGGUUGCAAAUUGUGACGUUUCCGGAGUUUGGGCUAUCUUAACUUUUUUGGUUAAGGGGCCUAAAAUUGACCUUUUUUGCGCAUUUUUAGACGUACAUAAAUUUUUUUUUUAUUCGUCUGUCUUAAUGCUCAAAAUCCUAUUAAUGGUGACCAUAUCGGUGGGUUUGGGGUUG